GACCCAGUGGUGAAGGGCUCACACCUGCUUUCCCUUCUCCAUUGCACUUCUAAGUCAGCAGGAGUUCCAGGUUCGACUCCGGACUGGGUCA